rnacentral:rRNA from 1 species
UACGUAGGGUGCAAGCGUUAAUCGGAAUUACUGGGCGUAAAGCGUGCGCAGGCGGUUUCGUAAGUCUGUCGUGAAAUCCCCGGGCUUAACCUGGGAACUGCGCUUGUAACUGGUAGGCUUGAGUGUGGCAGAGGGGGGUGGAAUUCCAGGUGUAGCAGUGAAAUGCGUAGAUAUCUGGAGGAACACCGAUGGCGAAGGCAGCCCCCUGGGCUAACACUGACGCUCAUGCACGAAAGCGUGGGGAGCAAACAGG